UACGUAGGUGGCAAGCGUUGUCCGGAUUUACUGGGCGUAAAGAGCGCGCAGGCGGUCGAUCAAGUCGAGUGUGAAAGCCCCCGGCUCAACCGGGGAGGGUCAUUCGAUACUGAUCGACUCGAAGGCAGGAGAGGGUAGUGGAAUUCCCGGUGUAGUGGUGAAAUGCGUAGAUAUCGGGAGGAACACCAGUGGCGAAGGCGACUACCUGGCCUGUUCUUGACGCUGAGGCGCGAAAGCUAGGGGAGCAAACGGG
rnacentral:rRNA from 1 species